rnacentral:rRNA from 1 species
AUGCACAUCCGUUGGAAGACAAUGCGUGUAAACUCGGAGCAACGUUGGGUUGCAUACAAGGAGACGGUGGCCGAAUCACUAGACAAGGCUCUUGAGUUAUUUGCAACGAAGAAGGUUGAUUCAAGUUUGCAUUUGGACUUGAACCGGAACCCCUCCCCUUUGGUUGCUAGUAGCCCCCCAUCCUUGAAGCGAGAUGAAAUUGUUGAACCUCUUUUGACCCAAGAAGUGAGGCCAACAUUGAGCCCUUAUAGAAACAACCAAGAUGAAUCUUUGCAAGAGGACAAUGAUGAGUAUGCGGACGAUGACAAUGAAGUUGAUCUCCAUGACAACAAUGUGGGUGAUCUCGACAAAUAUCAUUUGCAAGAGACAAUGGACCAUUCCAUCCCUUUUUCCCGUGCAUAUGCAUCGGACUCGGAUGACGAUGGUCCCGAUGAACAAGUUUAUGCGGAGGGGUUCACGGUGAAGGAGGCCGAAGCUUUCGAGAAGGUAUUUGGUCGGGAUCAUCGGACUACAUUGUUCAAGGAUGUUAGUCUCGCGGAUGAAGCCGUGGUAGAUGGUGGCCAAUGUGUACCUCUUGGGGUUAGGCCAAGCUCUCACCGUGAUUUGGUAGACGACAAGAACCGGAUUGCUAAAGGUUCUAAGUUCGACAGCUUGUUGGAUUUGAAGAUGUGGCUCGACAACUACUCGGUUACGCAUUAUCGUCCACACAAGGUGGUGCACUCGGACGUCAAUGUGCGCUACACGGUUGCAUGUGCAUGUGAAGAUGAAAAGGAGGUCCAACUUGGACUUACAAGAGGCCGUGGUGGUGGUAGAGGUCGUGGAAAGGAGGUCCAACAAGGAGUGGCAAGACGCCGUGGCGGUUGUCCAUGGAUUGUGCGUGCAAGACCAUGGAAAGGAGGUCCUACUUGGCAUGUAGUGAGUUGUGUGCCAACUCACAUGUGCCAACGCAAAAGGGUGGAUGGCAAGAUUGUGUCUGAAGACCACAAACAACUCACGUCCGAGUUCAUCGCUUACAGGCUCUCCAACUCAAUAUCCACACUUCCAACAAUGAGCGUCCAACAUGUCAUUGACCUUGUGAAAGCCAUCUUUCAUUACAAGGUGAAAUACGGCAAGGCAUGGAAGGCGAAGCAAGCCGCAUUUAAGAUGUUGUAUGAUAUGGAGUGCAACAAAGAUGAAGCGAUCAGAUCAAAGGAGAUGGCUGAAAGGAAGUACAAGGUGAACGAUUUUGCGGGCGCAAGGAAGUUUGCCUUGAAAGCAAAGGGUCUUUUCGAUCUUGAGGGCAUCGAUCAGAUGAUUGUAGCCUUGGAUGUCCACCUAAGGUCACUGAAAAAGUUUGAAGGGGAGAAUGACUGGUAUGGCAUCCUAGAAGUAUCAACCUGGGCUGAUGAGGAGACUAUCAGGAAGCAGUACAAGAAGCUGGCCUUACAAACUCAUCCAGACAAGAACAGUUUCGUUGGUGCUGAUAGUGCUUUCAAUCUCAUCUCAGAUGCUUGGAAUGUAUUGUCUGACAAAAACAAGAGAAUACUUCAUGAUCAGAGGAGGCAUAUGAGCUCUUUACGAGUCCUUCAGAACAACUCCCAAGUAAGUGUUGAUAACACUUCCAGUUCAUCCAUGCCAAGUAUGAAUGGCUUCUGCAGGCAAAAUACUGGUCCAGCCUCACCUCCCAAUGUGCCUCCUCCAAAUAUCCCAAAGCUAAGCACAUUUUGGACAGUCUGCAUUUCUUGUCGCAUGAACUUUGAGUACCCAAGGCAAUACGUGAACCAAUAUAUGAUAUGCCCAGAGUGCCAUAAACCUUUUAAGGCUGAAGAAGUUCCUCCUCCGCCUACUUCAAGUCACACCUACCAACCAAAGUCAAUGGAUACUAAUACUAGUAGGGGUCGCACAGCAUGUCCUGGUGAGGGAAUGGCAGGAACAGGAGUGGCUAGUGGUAGCCGGAAUCAUCAUAAUCCUAUGCAGCAGCGGUGCUCUUUUCAGGGAUCUGCAGGUGGUGCACACACUUUUUCACAUUCAGUGCAACAGACACAUGGUACUGUUUCAGGCUCUUCCGGAUCAUCAAUCCCUAGAAAAGCUGCAGCAACGAAGGAAAAGGAAGCCGCAAAGAAGCGAUACAAGAAAGUGGCGCCGCAGUCAACAAGCUCUGGCCUUGAUGGUGACUCAAGUUCACAGAACAAAGCCAAAAUGAAGGCUCGCUCCACUGACCGGGCAUCGGGAGCGAAGAGGCGCAAGGAAACUUCUAAUUGUCCUGUAUCUGCAGGGAGCAGCUUCAUCAAGGAGAUGGAGAAGUUGGAUAUGCGAAACUUACUAAUUAACAAGAUGAAACUCCAACUUCGGGACAAAUUAGAGGAGUUCAACAGGAAGAAGGCUGAUAUGGAGAAUGGACGAAAGAUGCAGACUAGUCAGAGAACAAACAAAGCGGCCACAUGCAGCACAGCAGUUGAUGCCAAGAAAAUGAAGAGGACACAACGAAGUAGUUCAGUUCAUCCAGAAGAAGAUAAUGGGAAGAAACUGACCAGUGAAAGAAAGAGGGCAGAGAAGAGGAAGCAUGCCGGUUCAGAAGAAAUGGGGUCAUGGGAGUGGAAGAAACCUGAAAUACGGCUUUUUUACACCAGGAGAAGCCGCAGGGAACAAGAGCCAUCUCCCGAUGAAAUGCUUGUCCCUGAUGCAGAUUUCUAUGCCUUUGGUGAUCAUUCUGGGAACUCUUUCCAGAAGGAUCAAGUGUGGGCCACAUAUGAUGAAGAAGAUGGCAUGCCUCGCUACUAUGCUUUGAUCCAGACAGUGCACUCCAGACGCCCUUUUAAGGUUACAUUUGCAUUCCUCAAGGCGGAUAAUCCCGACGAGUUUGGGGCUUCAGACUGGCUCUCAUGUGGAUUCUCCAAGACCUGUGGCGAUUUCAAGCCUGGUGCAUCCGAAGAUGCUGACGAGCUGAAUAAAUUCUCUCAUCUUGUCGCAUGUCAGAAAGGUCCAGGUAGAAGAAUCAUCAGAAUUCUUCCACGGAAAGGUGAUAUCUGGGCCCUGUACCAGAACUGGUCUGCCGACUGGGAUGAACUUGUACCUGAUGAGACAAUGUACAAGUAUGACUUGGUGCAGGUUCUUGACAGCUACAGCCCAAGUGAAGGCCUUUCUGUCAUGCCCAUUGAGAAAGUCCCUGGCUUUGUGUCUGUGUUCAAGCCACUUUCUGACCCAGCAAAGAGCAGGAGGAUUCCAGAGGAGGAAAUGACGCGGUUUUCGCACCAGGUGCCGUUUCAUAUCCUUACUGGUGAAGAAGCUCACAAUUCCCCCAAGGGAUGCUAUGAAUUGGAUCCAGGCUCAACUCCAAAGGAACUUCUUCAAGAGAGGGCGUACAUGAUGCUGCGGAUGAGCGGAGGCGGCGAGGGCAGUGAUUAUGGGAGCUCGGAGGCCGGGAACGACGAGCACGAGCAUGAGGAGCUGGGGCACCACCACCGCGUCCACCACCAGGAGCACCCGGGUGUUGUCCAUGGUGAUGGGGACGAUGAUCUCAAGGCUGAGGGGCGGGCAGAGGAGCAUGUUAAGGAUCACAUAAACGCUGCGCAGUUUUUUGUGAAAAUUCCUGGUUUUGUGUCCGUGUUCAAGCCACUUUCUGACCCAGCAAAGAGCAGGAGGAUUCCAACGGAGGAAAUGAUGCGGUUUUCGCACCAGGUGCCAUUUCAUAUCCAGGACUCCCCCAAGGCAGAGGAGCAUGUUGAGGAUCGCAUAAACGCUGCACAGGAGAGGGCGUACAUGAUGCUGCAGAUGAACGUAGGCGGCGAGGGCAGCGAUUAUGGGAGCUCGGAGGCCGGGAACGACGAGCACGAGCAUGAGGAGGAGCUGGAGCACCAUCAUCGCGUCCACCACGAGGAGCACCCGGGUGGUGUCCAUGGUGAUGGGGACGAUGAUCUCAAGGAGAGGGCAUACAUGAUGCUGCGGUUGAACGGAGGCACCGAGGGCAGCGAUUAUGGGAGCUCGGAGGCCGGGAACGACGAGCACGAGCAUGAGGAGGAGCUGGAGUACCACCAUCGCGUCCACCACGAGGAGCACCCGGGUGGUGUCCAUGGUGAUGGGGACGAUGAUCUCAAGGCUGAUGGGCAGGUAGAGGAGCAUGUUGAGGAUCGCAUAAACGCUGCACAGGAAUUAGUUGCAUUGGGUGAAGUGGUUGGUACGGAAAGUAGAGGUCACUCUCCUGACACACUUGCUUCCUUAGCUUCAGUAACUUACAACAGAAAAGAUAUGCAAGAUGGCAACACAGAACAAUGUGUAAUUUGUCAGAGGGCAUUUGAGAAAGGUGAAUCCGUGGUUGCACUUCCCUGCAAGCAUUCAUACCAUCCUGACUGCAUUAUUCAGUGGAGUCAAAUAAAUAAGGUUGUUGCUGCCAUGUUUUUCAAAUGUACAAAUUGGUCAUCAUCAACUCGUCAUGAUUCACGAGCUUUCAGGUUUCUGGUUACUCCGGCAUAUUUCAGUAGGCACCAAGGCGUUUUGCAGGAGAGGGCGUACAUGAUGUUGCGGAUGAACGGAGGCGGCGAGGGCAGCGAUUAUCGGAGCUCGGAGGCCGGGAACGACGGGCACGAGCAUGAGGAGGAGCUGGAGCACCACCACCGCGUCCACCACCAGGAGCACCCGGGUGGUGUCCAUGGUGAUGGAGACGAUGAUCUCAAGGCUGAUGGUGAGGGCUACCUGCGAGGAUGA